rnacentral:rRNA from 1 species
AUUGAACGCUGGCGGCAUGCCUAACACAUGCAAGUCGAACGAGUGGCGGACUGGUGAGUAAUGUCUUGGAAACUGCCUGAUGGACGGGGAUGACUACUGUAAACGGUAGCUACUACCGCAUACCACCAGAUGUGACCAGAGGGGAUUAGCUUGUUGGUGGGGUAACGGCUCACCAAGGCGACGCUCCCUAGCUGGUCUGAGAGGAUGACCAGCCAAACUGGAACUGAGACACGGUCCAGACUCCUACGGGAGGCAGCAGUGGGGAAUAUUGCACAAUGGGCGCAAGCCUGAUACAGCCAUGCCGCGUGUAUGAAGAAGGCCUUCGGGUUGUAAAGCACUUUCAGCGGGGAGGCGUUACCCGAAGAAGAAGCACCGGCUAACUCCGUGCCAGCAGCCGCGGUAAUUC